GACCUUAGACAAAUGCUUAUACCUCCAAGCCCUCAUAGGUGCAACUAUAUCAAUAACACCAUCCAAGAGUUUGUGAGCAAAGUGGGGGAGGACUAUGAAUACGGGGAACAUCAUGAAUACUUGCGAGCCUACUAUUGUGGAUUAAACAAAGCAAUUGAUGAAAACAUGCAGUCA